rnacentral:rRNA from 1 species
AUGGUUCACGUAACUAACGGACACUUCCUCUGUGGGAAUAAUAUCUUUCAGCAAAUCGUAUUACAGAUAAUACAGCUGCCAGCUUCCAUUAUCCUCAGCUCAAUCAUCAUCUGUAUAAUAGUUCGAGAUCAAGACGAAAAAGAGAGAGGAAAAGCUGUAUACAUAGGGAGGCCCAUCUUUGCUGUCCCCUGGCCCGCCUCUCACUGUCAGUCACUUGUAGCUGGAGUGACCAGUGAGGCAGCAGCAGCUUGUAGCUAUAGCUGCCUUCUCCCCACGGGAAACCAAAAUUCGAUUCCAACACGCACGCGCACGCGCACGCGGAAGCAUCGCACCUCCGAGCGGCUGAGCUCCAGGGUCAGGGCCAUGGAGCGGCGGAGAAGGGGCGGCUGCUUCUGCUUGCUCGCCGUGGCGGUAGUGGUGGUGGCGGCGGCGGCGGCCGUCGGCGAGGCGAAGCUGUCGCCGGACCACUACCGCAGGACGUGCCCGCGCGUGGAGUCCAUCGUGCGGUCGGCGGUGGCCAGGAAGGUGAGGGCGACCUUCGUCACCGUCCCAGCCACCCUCAGGCUCUUCUUCCACGACUGCUUCGUCCAGGGCUGUGACGCGUCGGUGAUGAUCGCGUCCAGCAGCAACGACGCCGAGAAGGACGCGCCGGACAACCAGUCCCUCGCCGGCGACGGCUUCGACACCGUCGUGCGCGCCAAGGCCGCCGUCGAGAAGGCCUGCCCCGGCGUCGUCUCCUGCGCCGACAUCCUCGCCCUCGCCGCCCGCGACGUCGUCUCCAUGUCGUCGGGCCCGAGCUGGACGGUGGAGCUCGGCCGGCUGGACGGGCUCGUCUCCAAGGCCGGCGACGUCACGGGCAGGCUGCCAGGCCCGGACAUGCAGCCGGACGCCAUCACCGUGCUGUUCGACGGCAACGGCCUCGCCGUGCACGACAUGGUCGCGCUCUCGGGCGCGCACACCGUCGGCUUCUCCCACUGCGCGCGCUUCGCGGGGCGGCUCUAUCGGCGCGGCGCGGUGGACCCGUCGUUGAGCCCGUCGUACGCGCGGCAGCUGAUGGCGGCGUGCCCGCCGGACGUCGACCCGACCAUCGCCGUCGACAUGGACCCCGUCACGCCCACCGUCUUCGACAACAAAUACUACGCCAACCUCGCCGCGGGCCUGGGGCUGUUCGCCUCCGACCAGGCGCUGCACGACGGCGCCGCGUCGCGGCCGGCCGUGCAGGGGUUCGCCGGGAACCAGACGCUCUUCUUCGAGGCGUUCAAGGAGGCCAUGGUUAAGCUCGGGAGGGUCGGGGUGAAGAGCGGCGGCGACGGGGAGAUCAGACGAGACUGCACCGCAUUCAACAGCAAGUAG